UACGUAGGGUGCGAGCGUUAAUCGGAAUUACUGGGCGUAAAGCGUGCGCAGGCGGUUAUUUAAGUCAGGGGUGAAAUCCUGGAGCUCAACUCCAGAACUGCCUUUGAUACUGGUGAGCUUGAGUCCGGAAGAGGUGAGUGGAACUGCGAGUGUAGAGGUGAAAUUCGUAGAUAUUCGCAAGAACACCAGUGGCGAAGGCGGCUCACUGGUCCGGUACUGACGCUGAGGUGCGAAAGCGUGGGGAGCAAACAGG
rnacentral:rRNA from 1 species